UACGUAGGGUGCGAACGUUAAUCGGAAUUACUGGGCGUAAAGCGUGCGCAGGCGGCUUUGCAAGACAGAUGUGAAAUCCCCGGGCUCAACCUGGGAACUGCAUUUGUGACUGCAAGGCUAGAGUACGGCAGAGGGGGAUGGAAUUCCGCGUGUAGCAGUGAAAUGCGUAGAUAUGCGGAGGAACACCAAUGGCGAAGGCAAUCCCCUGGCCUGUACUGACGCUCAUGCACGAAAGCGUGGGGAGCAAACAGG
rnacentral:rRNA from 1 species